ensembl:lncRNA
UGAAGUUAUAUUCAUCCCUCCUCUGAUCCUCUAGGUUCUAAUGUCACUGGCUUCAAACUGGUGCUGAUUGGACAUGGGCAGAGGUGUUAUGGUUUGAACAUCCUGAUAUUUUUUUGCUGGAUGUAGCAGUGAUCCUCUUAGUCUAUGCAUGGGAAGCUUUGAACUAUGGCUCUGUUGUGGUGAUAGAGCACUGGCAGAACUGACAAGUGCUUUAUACAUGAACAUGCUACGAGGACAACCUUUUGAAAAGGGUACCUUGGGACAAUGCCCCUUGUUAGAGGAGUCACUGCUCAAACUGCCUUAUCACUUCUGACUUCUAUGCUUGCUUCUCUCUGACAUAAUAUGCCCUGUGACACCACAUUAUGAAAUGCAAUGACUAAGGUAAUACUUUAUACAUAAUACUCUAAAAAGUACUCUAAAUACAGUUAGUCACUGUUUCUGAAAUUUAGAAGGUGGCUGCAGAUAAGGUUUAAUCUUUACUAAAGGGAAUUCGUGAUAUGAGCCUAAUCCUUGAAGUAUAAACUUCAUAGACGCACAAUGUGGUACUUUCUUAAUAGCAGUGAUUUCUGUUAUUUCUUUCUAAAGUAGCUUUGUCUGGGGAAAAAUAUAUCCAUACUUUUUUUUCAGUCUAAUUUUGGACAGUUAAUCUUUUCUACUUUUUCAGCUAGAUGUUUACUCAACCAACAACGUGUUGAACUUGUUGAGAAUCAGGGGAAAGGAACCUAAACUACAAUAGAGAUGAUGCACUGUGGAUGUUAAUGUGAAACAUUGCUAGACUUGAAACCAGAAAGUAAAUGUGUGAGAUGGUGCAGAGAAAGGUCUUCUGACACCUGACAACUGGAAACAGUUGUGCCCUCAGGCACUGGUGCUGCUAAGUACACAAGGUUGUUGCUUUGUUGUAUUCUCGCAGUGCCUUAAAAAGAUUUCAGAUGAAAACAGCCAGGAUCAAAUGCAAAAUCACCAGGUCCAAUAGUGAUAUUUAUCUGCUAUAACUAUUAAAGCAUUAGCAUAUGGAACAUUUAUCCUUAAAUGAACAUAUUGUAAUUGUGAUUCAGAGUAGUAAUAUAUAUGUUUAGUAACCAAUUAUACAGAGAUUAUAUGUAAAUUACAGAAACUUUUCUAGAGGCAGCAGUUGCAAGAAUGAAAGACAGUAUUUAGCCUCUGGGAUCAGAAAUGGAUAAACUGAGCAAAGAUACAAAAGCAGAUGACAGAUCUUUAGGAUCUUAGAAAGUAGCUGCUUCAGGCUU